CCUCCUUCUCCCUCUGCUUCUCCCACAGAUCUCGUGUCCCUAGACGGAGUCGUCACCCAUAGCUGCCGAGUGGUCCACACCCCUGUCCGUUAUGUCUCACAUGUGGAAUACAACCCUGCCAACAAGUUUCUUGCAGUGCUCGGAGGGGAAGGGGAGUAUUGUAGUGGAUACUCUCCCCUACAGCUGCCACUGACGCUAGUUGUUGAUCAGCCGAUCCCAUGACGAAGUUUCUCAGGCAAGCCUAUCUGCCUAGACUAGCGUCAAGUUUCUCUGACAAGUCUAGACAUCUAGACUAAGGGGGGUCGACACCGGCGACGCUUACUUCCGGAUUUACUUCCGGUGGACGUGUAUAUAAGCUCCCAGUUCUCGCCAUGAAGUCCAUUCUACCUAGAGCUCUGCAACACCUAACACCUCCUCUAAGGAAGCUCCUGCACAGCAACUCCUCUACCACGCAGCAACUUCCCAGCACCAGACUGAUUAUGCGGCCCGCGCUCGUCAUUCUUUCAGUUAUCCGGCCCACUGUGAAAAAAGUUUGGUGACCCCUGGCCUAGAUGGAGGAGCGCGGGCCACCGGCCCCAGUCGCGCCUACUCUAUCAUCAACACAGGUACCACGCGGCGCUCUCUGAACUCACCAGAACGGCGGCCAUUACCCACCUUGAGCGUCCCACCAUGUGAGAUGACUACUCCCAGCUAUGCUACUCCACUGUGAACCUGUGGAUUCCCGGCAUACCACCACACAUGAGUAGGAAAACAUAAUGGAAUGCUUGAGAAACUCCGCUGUCGUCACUUGGAGCGACCUAUAAUACCAGGCGUAGAAACAGUACUGGUAUGUCUCUUGGUGAAGCCCUCGUCUUUACCCACCGAGGGCGGUGUGCCAACGAGGUGCCUGAUAUGUGUGCCUAGAAGUCACAAGGAGUCCCAUACUUGCAGGUGUGGAGUGUAACCGGGGUGUGGUGAGAUGAUGUUACAAGGUUGUGAGAUGGUGCUAUAAUGUAAAAUAACCUAAGGUGCUAUAUUCCAAACAGGUGGAGCAGUCUGAUGUGUUGGGUAUUGUAAGAAGGGAUGACCGAGGUAAGGAGGUCACUGAUUGUUAUGAGCAAUACGUAUGUGGAUGACACGCAAUUAAUGUAAGACGUCUGGUGUUGAGCAGUGUAACCAAAAUCAUAGUUGUUCUUCUGAGGAAGGCCAACGCUUCUUGUAUUUUGACGGAAUGCAAUAUGUUUUAGAAGGAAUAAAUUAGUUAAGACAU